rnacentral:lncRNA from 1 species
GGGAUGCACUCUGCUUAUCUGAGGUACAGUAGUGCCCACUGAGCUCUUACUUUUUUCUGUUACAGGGGUUGAUUUUCUGCCUGAGCCAAAGGUACUGAGGAAUGAAUCUAAGAUGGGACCCUCACAAGAGAAAUCCCAAGGCCCAACAACCUUUUUUUGCCUCACAGUACCCAGAUGAUGACCCAGACUACUGCAUAUGGAUUCCUCCUGAAGGUCAAAGUGGUGAUGGCAAGACUCAUCUCAAUGAAAAAUACGGCUACUAAGCUUCGAGUGCCCCGGAGUACAUCUGAGGCUUAAAGGACUGCUCUGUUUUGGACUCUUUCACCAUGAGUUAAGUGAGGGAUAAGAGACUUGGAUUUUCAGAUGCAGUUUCAAGUUCAAGGGCAUCAGCAGCUGCUCUGGCUUUUAGCUCUCCCUGUGCGUCCUCUGUUUGUCUUCCAGAUUUUUUUUUAAGUAAAAGCCCACACAUUCUUCUGCCUCUUCUUUCACUUUUAACCUUGUUUUGUUUUUAGCUUUUUAAAAUUUGGCUUGAAACUGUAGGCUCAUUUUUCCUUUUGUAAAUAAAAGUAGCCAAAAAUAUGAAAAGAAUACACCUCUGUAUACUUACAGGAUUGAUAAAAUUUAUUCAUGUUGGGAUUGUGCAGUUAAAAUAAGAAACACUACUGGUUUUUGUCUGUGGC